AAAGCGUGAGAAUCUGCCUCCAGGUCGGGGACACCAGCGGGAAACUGCUGCUAAUCCCGGAUGAGCCUAAGGGUAAAAGAUUUAUUGCCUGGAGAGGAGCUCGCGUCCGAUUAGCUAGUUGGUGAGGUAAGAGCUUACCAAGGCAACGAUCGGUAGCUGGUCUGAGAGGACGAUCAGCCACACUGGGACUGAGACACGGCCCAGACUCCUACGGGAGGCAGCAGUGGGGAAUUUUCCGCAAUGGGCGAAAGCCUGACGGAGCAAGACCGCGUGCGGGAGGAAGGCCCUUGGGUCGUAAACCGCUUUUCUUAGGGAAGAAGCUCUGACGGUACCUAAGGAAUCAGCCUCGGCUAACUCCGUGCCAGCAGCCGCGGUAAUACGGAGGAGGCAAGCGUUAUCCGGAAUUAUUGGGCGUAAAGCGUCCGCAGGCGGCUUACCAAGUCUGCUGUCAAAUACCAGAGCUCAACUCUGGGUCGGCGGUGGAAACUGGCAAGCUAGAGUACAGUAGGGGUAGAGGGAAUUCCCAGUGUAGCGGUGAAAUGCGUAGAGAUUGGGAAGAACACCGGUGGCGAAAGCGCUCUACUGGGCUGUAACUGACGCUGAGGGACGAAAGCUAGGGUAGCGAAAGGGAUUAGAUACCCCUGUAGUCUUAGCUGUAAACGAUGGAGACUAGGCGUGGCUUGUAUCGACCCGAGCCGUGCCGAAGCCAACGCGUUAAGUCUCCCGCCUGGGGAGUACGCACGCAAGUGUGAAACUCAAAGGAAUUGACGGGGGUCCGCACAAGCGGUGGAGUACGUGGUUUAAUUUGAUGCAACGCGAAGAACCUUACCAAGGCUUGACAUCCCGCGAAUCUUGGUGAAAGCCGGGAGUGCCUUCGGGAGCGUGGAGACAGGUGGUGCAUGGCUGUCGUCAGCUGUUGUCGUGAGAUGUUGGGUUAAGUCCCGCAACGAGCGCAACCCUUGUCCUUAGUUGCCAGCAUUCAGUUGGGCACUCUAGGGAGACUGCCGGUGACAAACCGGAGGAAGGUGGGGAUGACGUCAAGUCAUCAUGCCCCUUACGUCUUGGGCUACACACGUACCACAAUGGUUGGGACAACGGGCAGCGAAGCGGCAACGCCGAGCGAAUCCCAGC
rnacentral:rRNA from 1 species